rnacentral:rRNA from 1 species
ACGCAGACCCGAAACCAAGUGACCUACCCAUGUCCAGGUUGAAGGCUAGGUAAAACUGGCUGGAGGACCGAACCCACGUAAGUUAAAAAUUGCGGGGAUGAGGUGUGGGUAGCGGUGAAAUUCCAAACGAACUUGGAGAUAGCUGGUUCUCUCCGAAAUAGCUUUAGGGCUAGCCUCGCGAGAGAGGAUAAUGGAGGUAGAGCACUGUUUGGACUAGGGGCCCGUCAGGGGUUACUGAAUCCAGAUAAACUCCGAAUUCCAUAUAUCUAUACGCGGGAGUCAGACUGCGAGUGAUAAGAUCCGUAGUCGAAAGGGAAACAGCCCAGAUCACCAGUUAAGGUCCCCAAAUCUAUGCUAAGUGGAAAAGGAUGUGGAGUUGCGUAGACAACUAGAUCGGAAGAGCGUCGAACAAU